UACGAAGGGGGCUAGCGUUGUUCGGAAUUACUGGGCGUAAAGCGCGCGCAGGCGGCUAUCCAAGUCAGUGGUGAAAGCCCGGAGCUCAACUCCGGAACUGCCAUUGAAACUGUUUAGCUUGAGGACGAGAGAGGUGAGUGGAAUUCCCAGUGUAGAGGUGAAAUUCGUAGAUAUUGGGAAGAACACCGGUGGCGAAGGCGGCUCACUGGCUCGUAUCUGACGCUCAGGCGCGAUAGCGUGGGGGAUCAAAACAGG
rnacentral:rRNA from 1 species